AGAACCUAAUGCUCACACAGAUGGUGGAUUGGCUUCUCCUUUUUGUUACUUUGUGGUGAUUCUGUAUUCUGCUUCUUACAGUCCUGUUUUUCACUUUAAAAUAGUUGAUAAGGAUGUAACUUCAUAUUUUGAUCAGCCAAGAAGACUUCAUUUUUUAUAAAAAGAAGGUUUUUCAAGAAGCCUUUUCAUUGCUCUAAAAAGAAUUCAUUGGUUUGUUUGUUUACGAGAAUGGUUUAUGAAGUUGAAACCUUUCGAAGUCAUUUGAGCACAUCUGACUCAUUGUUGUCAAAGUCACAAGUUGAU
rnacentral:lncRNA from 1 species